ensembl:snRNA U2 U2 spliceosomal RNA
GUCACUUCGUGGCCUUUGGGCUAAGAUCAAGAGUAGUAUCUGUUCUUAUGACUUUAAUAUUUAAUGCCUCCUCCGAUCGAGGACAAUGUAUGAAAUAGAUUUUUGGAGCUGAGAGAUGGAAUAGGAGCUUACUCUGUCCACUCUGGUCAUUGACCUGGUAUCAUGGCACUCCCUGGAAUGGUGCACCCACU